CCCGGGUUUGGCAGUUUUACUUUAAUGGAGAAUUCAGGUGAUUAUCACACUUUGAUAUGGGGCUGUGAUUAAUGUAGCCACACUUUAAAAUGGGAUUUUUCCAUUUAUUUAUUUUUUUGUUCACGUGUUAGAAAGGUAAAGCACGGAGAUGGUAACGACCUAACUAACAGUGUAUUUACACGGCUUCUCUACUCUGCAAGUGUGCUAAGCUAGCAGCAGGUGGGUUAAUUAAUGAAGGUCCUGUUUCUGGCAUGCUUCAACACACACAAACAUACAGAGAACAGAGGGACACACAGGUGGCGAUUUGUGCGUUCGUGAUCCAUCUCCGCACAGCCAAACAAGCAGGUGACCGUCUAAGCUCUGAUUUAUUUCAGGUCAUCAGACGCAAGCUCAAGUCGGCAGGGUGUACAUUUGUUUGAUUUGUUUGCUUAGCACUUCUGUAACACUGUAGAUAUGUGACCUUGCCUGUCUGUGAAAACCCAACUAAAGCCAUAAAAUCACUCUAGAUAAUGUAAAGAAUAUUGUAUGUGAAAAUAUAACUUAGUAAGGCCACAUCAAAGAUUCAAACAGGGUUCCCAUGGGUUCUUGAAAGUUUGUGAAUCUGGGGGAAAUACUUCAAGGCCCUUGGAAGUUUUUGUAAAUAUACAUACAUAGAUACAGAUCAUUGAAAGUGCUUGAAUCUAUUUAAUGAAAGAAGUUUUCUGGAAAAAAAACCAUAUUAUUCCCUGUGUAGUGUAGGAUAAUAUCAUAAAAAUUCUAGACUUUUUAAGCACACAUGCUAAACUGUUUUCUUUAAAUGCUUAUAUCUUCUGUAUGCGAAUGUUGAUUCAUACCAAAAUGCUUUUUUGCAUAAUUGUGUUUGACACAUGAAAACGUCUCGGGUUACGUAUGUAACUGUUGUUCCCUGAGAAGGGAACGAGACGCUGCAUCUCCCUUGCCAUACUUCCUGCGUCCCUGUAAUGCCAUCUUUGGCAAUAUUUCAGAUAGCGAUAUACUUCCUGGCUCCCGCGUCACCCUGUCUUUGUCGUUAAUCCUCACCAUUGGUUAAAUUUGGUAUACACGUUCAGACGCACUUAAUUCUGGAAGCGUCCCCAAAGUGUCACCGCAGUGACGCAGCAAGAGUUCCCUCAAAAGGGAACUGUAACAAUGUAUCUUUAAAGGUAACAUGAUGUAACCUUGCCCUCACUUGAAAUGUGUCCCCACAUUUAGUCCUUGAAUUUGAGAGUAUUGGACCUGGAAAGAUCCUUGAAUUUGAAGUCAACUAAGGUGUGGGAACCCUGUUUAAUCAAUGACUAAAAUCAAACUUUGAGACUUUAGCCUGGAUUUGAUAGACAGGCUCACAUACAGUACUGUGCAAAAGUCUUAGGCCACCACCACCAGACUUGUUGUUUUAAAAGUUUUAAUGUCCAUCCAUAUUUAUUUUUCAAUCUAUUUUAUUAAGAUACAAACAGAAAAUACAGGAAAUAUGUACACAAAAUUUAAAACAAAAAAUUUUCAGGACUAAAUGUCUUCUUUAGGCAUCGUCUGUGUUUAGUGUGACCUAUCUUGGCACGAAACACAUCUUGAGCGUUUUUGAGCAGAAUGAAGUAAAAAGAAAUGAGGAUUUAAUUUUAUUUAGGUUUAAGAGAUCCUGCAGUUUCUUGCUAUUGCUCAAGUGGAAUGGGAGUUUACCCUAAAAACUUGACACAUCAGUUUUAUACAGUUUUUAAUACUAUAUACACAUUUCCUGUAUUUUCUGGAUGUAUUCUAUUAAAGAGACUGAGAAACAAUUAUAUAUGAUCACUAUUACAUCACUAAAACAUCAAAUCUAAUUCUAGCAUGGUUGCCUAAGACUUUUGCACAGUACUGUAUGCAUCCACUCGUGGUUUUCUCCUAGUUUGUGAUGAUUACAUGCACCGUUGACACAUUCUGCAUUGCCUCUUUGAUGUCAGGUCUGAGAUCAAACCCUCACCAAGCAGGCACGCAUCUGCAGAGCUGCGUAAUACACCAGCAGGUCUGGUGGUAAAGCUGGCACAGAGAUUUCAGUGGCCUGGGCUGUGUGAUUGAUGAGAUGGGUAUCUGGUAGAGCUGCCCCUCAGGACUGCCCUUUCUAACACUCCAGCACUGAGAGUGAUUAACCUCACUGUGGCACAUGCAGAACUCACCAUUAUGAGGACAGAACGAUUGAUGGCAUUACGUUGUCCUCAUUGAGUGGUGGAAGGAAGGAACGAAUGGGAAAUGACGAGGAAGACUGGCAUUGCUGUGUUAGGAAGAAAGUCUUCCAAAGUGUCAAUAAGUUUAGGAUGUGAUAAAACGCACUCGUUGUUUACAGAUUAGCAGUAUUCUCUCGGAUUGUGGGUUCGAUUUGCCAGUUUGUUUUCCCAGUUCAGUUUAGCUUGUUCUCUUGUAGUUUGUAAUGGGUUCUCAUUAAGGCUUUCUAAUGGUUUGACGUUUUGUUCACUGUCCUGCUGUUGUAGCCGGACAAUUUAUUAUCAAGUUAUAAGUACUUCAGAGGUUUUGUGGCAGAGAAAUUAGGUCUGAUGUGCUCAUUUACACUGCUCAGCCUGUCUAUGUUUAACUUUGUUGAGCGUAGAGAGGUAAAUUACCACUGUUGGCAUUACAAUACACAGAUUUGAUCUAUUUGGACAUCUGGAAAGUAAACAUGCAGCUUCUGUUAAUCACAUUAUUUUUGGGCUAUCAGUCGAUAUAACUGUUGUUCAGUCUCCAUCACUAAUUUAUAUUGCUUUGUGAAAGUGAGAAACCACAAU